rnacentral:rRNA from 1 species
UCUAGCGAGACUGCCAGUGAUAAACUGGAGGAAGGUGGGGAUGACGUCAAAUCAUCAUGCCCCUUAUGACCUGGGCUACAAACGUGAUACAAUGGCUGGAACAAAGGGAUGCGAAGCAGUGAUGUGGAGCGAAACCCAUAAAAACAGUCUCAGUUCGGAUUGAAGUCUGCAACUCGACUUCAUGAAGUCGGAAUCGCUAGUAAUCGUGAAUCAGAAUGUCACGGUGAAUACGUUCCCGGGCCUU